rnacentral:rRNA from 1 species
AUUGAACGCUGGCGGCAGGCCUAACACAUGCAAGUCGAGCGGUUGAGGUAGCUUGCUACCGAUGCAGCGGCGGACGGGUGAGUAAUACAUGGGAAUCUGCCUGGUAGUGGGGGACAACGUUUCGAAAGGAACGCUAAUACCGCAUACGCCCUACAGGGGAAAGGGGGGGAUCUUCGGACCUCUCGCCAUCAGAUGAGCCC